GCCUACGGGAGGCAGCAGUGAGGAAUAUUGGUCAAUGGGCGGAAGCCUGAACCAGCCAAGUCGCGUGAGGGAAUAAGGCCCUACGGGUCGUAAACCUCUUUUGCCGGGGAGCAAGGGCGGGGACGUGUCCCGGCCCGGAGAGUACCCAGAGAAGAAGCAUCGGCUAACUCCGUGCCAGCAGCCGCGGUAAUACGGAGGAUGCGAGCGUUAUCCGGAUUUAUUGGGUUUGAAGGGUGCGUAGGCGGGCUUUUAGGUCAGCGGUAAAAAUUCGGGGCUCAACACCGUCCGGCCGGUGAAACUGGGGG
rnacentral:rRNA from 1 species